GAUGAACGCUAGCGGCAGGCUUAAUACAUGCAAGUCGAGGGGCAGCAUGACUGUAGCAAUACAGUUGAUGGCGACCGGCAAACGGGUGCGGAACACGUACAGAACCUUCCUUCGAGCGGGGAAUAGCCCAGAGAAAUUUGGAUUAAUACCCCAUAGUAUAUUUGAAAGGCAUCUUUUAAAUAUUAAAGAUUUAUCACUUGAAGAUGGCUGUGCGGCUGAUUAGGUAGUUGGCGGGGUAACGGCCCACCAAGCCUGCGAUCAGUAACUGGUGUGAGGGCACGACCAGUCACACGGGUACUGAGACACGGGCCCGACUCCUACGGGAGGCAGCAGGAAGGAAUAUUGGUCAAUGGACGAAAGUCUGAACCAGCCAUGCAGCGUGGAGGAUGAAGGUCCUCUGGAUUGUAAACUUCUUUUAUAUGGGACGAAAAAAGACUUUUCUAAGUCGUCUGACGGUACCAUAUGAAUAAGCACCGGCUAACUCCGUGCCAGCCGCCGCCGUAAGAC
rnacentral:rRNA from 1 species